rnacentral:rRNA from 1 species
CCUACUGGAGGCAGCAGUGAGGAAUAUUGGUCACUGGGCGUAAGCCUGAACCAGCCAAGUCGCGUGAGGGAUGAAGGUUCUAUGGAUCGUAAACCUCUUUUAUAAGGGAAUAAAGUGUGGGACGUGUCCUAUUUUGUAUGUACCUUAUGAAUCAGGAUCGGCUAACUCCGUGCCAGCAGCCGCGGUAAUACGGAGGAUCCGAGCGUUAUCCGGAUUUAUUGGGUUUACAGGGUGCGUAGGCGGCCUUUUAAGUCAGCGGUGAAAGUCUGUGGCUCAACCAUAGAAUUGCCGUUGAAACUGGGGGGCUUGAGUAUGUUUGAGGCAGGCGGAAUGCGUGGUGUAGCGGGGAAAGUCUUAGAUAUCACGCAGAACCCCGAGUGCGAAGGCAGCCUGCCAAGCCAUGACUGACGCUGAUGCACGAAAGCGUGGGGAUCAAACAGGAUUAGAUACCCGAGUAGUC